UGUAAUAGAAGUGAGCUUGACCAUAUGCUUCCAAUUCCUUCUGCUCAUGACUGCCAUCACCCGGUCCCUGGGGACAUGGGUCAGCCUCACAAUGAAGGCAGACGCCCUGCAGAGGGGAAGGACUUAGGGAUCCGAGGCGUGGGGUCAGGGUCCUUUAAGGAACUGGGUGAGCUUGAGCAAGCCACUGAACAUCUCUAUGUCCUUGAGUGAAAAAGGAGAACAACAGAUGUCCUGGUUUUCUCAUAGAGUUACAAUAAAGAUCAAAUGAGACAAUGCUUGAAAAAGCCCUUUGAGAAAUACGAAGCAGGGUAAAUUCAGAGUGGGCUUUGGAAUGUCCUCAAUUGUUGCCUGCCUUUUGGCAGGAAUGCUCAGCUCCUUGCCAGAAGUUGAGGAAUGUCCAAAUAAGACAGGAUAUACUGUUGCCCCAACUUAACUUUCCAACCUCAUUUCCCAUGAUGCCUGUCAUUCACCCUACUGAGUUAUUUCCAACCAAGUGAAGGCCCAAGAGUCUACAGCAGUGGUUUUGAAAGUAUGGUCCAGGAUCCUGGGAGGGCCCUAAGACCCUUUCAGGAGGCCUGUAAGAUCAAAACUAUUUCCUGGUCAUACUAAGACAUUAUUUGCCUUUUCACAUGCAUUCUCUCAGGAGUGUACAGUGGAAGUUUCUAGAAUCUACAUGAUGUAUGCUAUCUCACUUUCAGUUUCUAAUGCAGAAGCAGGGAUAAGAAUCCACCUUCAUUUAUUACGUCAUUAAAUAGAUUUACAAUGCCACUUUUUACCCUAAAUUAUUUUUAUUUUGGAAAACAUAAGUUUCAUAAAAAUAUUUGUUAACAUGGAAUAAACUUUUAUUAUUUUUCAACAAAUAUUUUUAGAUUCUUAGUUGUAAUUUCUAAUAUAGUAAAUUUGUGGUUGUUAGUGCUGUUGAGUAGAUUCUAACCUCUAGCAACCCGGUGUCCAGCAGAGCGGAACCUGCCCAGUCUUUUUGCACCAUUCUCUCACCUUCCGGCACUAAAUCAGACAACACUCUACUGCUAUGCCUAGGGUCUUCAGGGCUAAUCUUGGCAGAAGUGGGCGGCCAGGUCCUUCUUCCUAGUCUGUCCAGGAAGCUCCACUGAAACCUGCCCACCACGAUUGACCCUGCAGGUAUUUGAAACAGCGGUGGCAUAGCUUUCAGCAUCACAGCAACACACAGCUGCAGGACAACCAACAGUGGGGAGGGGGACCAAGGAGUGUGGUUCCCUGACUGGGAAAUGAACCUGGGCCGCAGCACUAAGAGUGCCAAAUCUUAACCACUAGACCUCCAGGGCUGGCUAUAAUGCACUGAAUGUGAGUAGAUAUAACUUGAAUAAACAAAAGUUCUCUGUGGUCCUCCAACAUUUUUAAGAAUAGAGGUCCUGAGACCAAAAUGUUUGAGAGCCCCUGUGUCUAGAGCAGACAGCAGGAAGCUCAAACGCUGCGAGAGGGGGCAGCAGAAGGCUGCAGGAGCAGACCCAGUGGCUGCGUGAAGGGUUCUGGUCUUUAUCCAAGAGCAACAUCAGGCUGUUCCAUACACGCAGAGGCUGCAGUUACUGUUCCCUUCUCUGCACGUGACAAGUGUACAGAAUUAUUCAUUGUUCAACUUACCUUUCCACUCGAUGAUGAUUCAUUAUAAAAAAUGAAUUCAUAAAGCUCCGUCAUAAAGCUUCACCACACUAUAAUGAAUCUCAAGGUUGCAUUCAAAAAGAAUAACUUCCCCUACAUGGUCAGAUGCAGUGUCUGUGCUUAGCUUUUUUUUUUUUUUUUGAGGAAGAUUAGCCCUGAGCUAACAUCCGUGCCCAUCUUCCUCCACUUUAUACGUGGGACGGCUACCACAGCAUGGUGUGCCAAGCGGUGCCAUAUCUGCACCCGGGAUCUGAACUGGCAACCCCCGGGCCGCCAAAGCAGAAUGUGCAAACUUAACCGCUGCACCACCGGGCCGGCCCCUGUGCUUAGCUUUUAAAACCAAGUUCUUGGUUAAUUUGGAAGUGUAAAAUGUUUACAAAUGAGCUUACUUCUAUCUCCCAAUAUCAGGAGCCCACAUUCCAGGGGAGCCAGACUCAGGGUGAGAGCUCAUGCUGAGGACACUCCGUGGGGAGCGGGAGCCCUGGGAAAGACAGCCCUUCCCGAUUCGGUGCGGCCCUCCUGGCUGCUCGCAGGCCCUCUCUGCUGCUCGCACUGGCUCUCUCUGGCCUCCGCCUCGGACGGUGUCACAGACUGUACUCAUCUCCAGCCCCUUCGCAUCUCCUCACUCUCAGAAAACUCGCUUUUGUCCUCACCGAGAGGCUCAAGGCAGGAAGCUAUGGAGUUAAUAGUCACGCACUAGGACUAUAAAAUGUAUGACUAGUGACUUUAUCAUCAGCACGAUAAAAAUAAUUAUCUUAAUAUGCAGUUCCCAGGAAUAAAUAGCAACUGAAAGUGUGAUUCUGAUUUUAACAACAUGAAAAUAAUCUCAGUUAGUAAAAUCACUGAGCAAAGACAGAUGUGAGCCAUGUCAAGGUAGGGGAAUGUGUGUCAAGAGGGUCUAUGGAAUGCAGCCAGAGGACAAGGCAAGUCACGGCAAAAGCGUUUAUCUGAGCACAUUCUCCAGGGACGGCAGCUGGAGCCAGAGCCCUGUGACUCGGCACAGCCCGGACCUGAGGGCAAGCAGCUGAUAAGGGUCAGAACCUUCCAUCAAGACGGAGACGGUCAAACAUCAAGAAGAUGACAGAUCUUUACAAACGCUAAAGACAUCUGAGCAGAAAGAUGCAUGGAGUUGAAACUUCUUGAAGGGUGAAGAUCAUGGCUCACCAGCUUUCAAACCCUCCAGCCUCUGUAGCAGCUCUCACUCAAAGUCACAGUUUCUAAAUACCUGCUGCUCUUGGUUAUCUGUUCAGAACUGGAAAAGGCUACGUUCCACGUGAUGGCGUCACACUGUUCUUUCCAGAACAUCUGACGACUCUGCAGUCAUGAAUGAAUUCUCACAGGGUGGCAGGUGAAAAUUAUUAUUCUCCUUCCAGAUGAGGAAAUGGCUGCCCAGAGUGGACCGUGACUCACUCGGCUCCCUGGAUCUUUUUAAUGAGCGGUUCACACCCAACUGCCCUGACUUAAAAUUCUACACAAAUCACCCCCGCUUUAGUUUUGGCUUCUUUUUUUCAGAGGAAGCAUGUUAACAUUUAGUGUGCUGUGAGCAAAGCCAGCGAUCUGGGGUGAGAGGGACAUGAGGAACCUGCGGCUCUCUGGCCUGGAGAAGAGAAGAAACAGAGAGACAUGGAGGCUGUCCUUCACUCUAAGAACGGUGGGUGUGUAGGAGAGAGAGAAGGCUGUGUUACACCUUGGCAGAUGGAACUGGAAGGAAGGAACAGAAAGGCAGGCCAAGCUCUGGGGAGCUUCUGCUGAGUCUGUUUAUACAAUCCUCCAGGAGAACUUCUCCUCCUCCUUCAAAUCCAAACCACAGGACCCAUCCUUUGAGAAGUUUCUCCUGCUGUUGCCGCUCGAAGCAAGAGAUCACUUCACUGAAAUCCCUUAGCUUUCUCACAUGUCUAUCCAAUAGCAUCAAAAUCACACUUCCUUUCUGGCCCGCCAACUAGAACAUGAGCUCCAUGUGGGCAGAAGCCAUGUCAUCUUCACCCUGUG
ensembl:lncRNA